rnacentral:tRNA from 2 species
GGGGCUGUAGCUCAUCUGGUAGAGCGUUUGAAUGGCAUUCAAAAGGUGAGGGGUUCGAGUCCCCUCAGCUCCA